rnacentral:lncRNA from 1 species
AUAUUCAUUAUUGUUACAUUUUUUUGUAUUUUAUUACAUAUGGAACAAUAGUUUAUUAUGUUUAUAUAAAAAAAAAAUUAUGCAUUUAUGAGUUUUCUUUUUUUAUUUUUAUAUAGUUAAAUUUGUAAAAAUAAAAUUUACUAAUUAGUGGGUUAGUUACUUUAAAUAGGUAACUAUGAACAUUUUAUACCCACAACCUCUUCAAUAGCCGAUUAUAUAUAUAUGUAUAGAACUUCAGAAGAGAUUAUUUAUUUUUUUUUUUUAUAAAUCCACAUACCGGAGAUGCUAAAAUUUUAAAACACAGCAAAAAAUUAAAUGUUAAAAAAGAAAAUGUAAAUAAAAUUAAAGUCACUCGUACCAAAAUAAAUAGCAAAAAUAAUAUUUAUAAAAAAAAAAAAAAGUAACAAGCGGAUGGAAAAAAAAAUAACAAAAAAAUAAAGGAGAAAUCACAAAAAAAUGACAAAAAAAAUUACAAAAACAAAAUAAAUAAUAAUAUAAAAAACAUCUUUAUAUGUUUUAUAUAUAUGUUUAGUNNNNNNNNNNNNNNNNNNNNNNNNNNNNNNNNNNNNNNNNNNNNNNNNNNNNNNNNNNNNNNNNNNNNNNNNNNNNNNNNNNNNNNNNNNNNNNNNNNNNUACAUCACAUAUAUAUUUAUGUACAUACCUAGAUAAAUCCAACUCCUUAUUAUAUAUAUACGUAACAUACAUAUUUAUGUACAUACCUACAUAAAUCUAACUACUUCUCCUCCCCCCUCUCCCCCACAAAAAAAAAAAAAAAAAAAAAUCAAAGCCAUUAUAUAUAGCAUGAAUGCAAAAAAACGAAGUAAAUUGCGAACGAAGCUGAAGCGCAAAAAAAUAGGUUUCCAAGAAUUUUCUUACAUUUCUUAUAAACAAGAAAUACGCAAAUUGUAUGCAAAAGAAAAGUAUACAACACCACUACCUUUACAGGACGAACAUAGUAAUCAAUCAUUUAAAGAUGAUGAUAUGAAUACAGACGGGUCUGUGAAUGACAUUUUUCCAAAAAAUGUUGACAAUAAAUAUUCUAUGAAUUUGAUUACAGACCAUAUGUUAGAUUUCGGUAAGGUUACGGAUAUAAAAGAGAAAGAAAUGGAAGAACAUGACAAUAGUAACGGUACAUUAGGCACAAGAGAAGAUGAUGACAACGCAGAUGAAGGAAAUCUAUUUAGUUUCUUAAACAAAAAUCAUGAUAAUAAAAAUAUAGUAAGUAAUAGCAAUAAUAAAAAAGAAUAUAGUAUAAACAGGUAUGUAUUAAGUAAUAGUGGAUUGAUAUCAAACUCAGGAAAAAAUAAAAGUGGUACACAUAAGAAAUUGGAAAUUGUCUACGAAAAUGAGACAAUCGUAUUGGAUAAAGAAGAUGAGAACCAAAAAAAAAAAUUAAUAAAUGAAUUGUUACACAUUAUAAUUACAAAAAAAAAAAUAACAAAAGUGUUAAGAGACCAACUAGAAGAAACCAAUAAAAAUAUUAAUUACUACGCUAGUAGCAGUAUGAUAAAAUAUAUUGUUCGAAAGGUUGAACGAGGUGUAUAUUUUUCGGAAUUAGAAGCACUGAUAAUACAUAAUAUUGAUUUUAACAAUUUGGAAAUAACAAUAGUUAAUUCUAAAAAGAUUGAAAGGUUAAAAAAGUAUAUUUUUUCAUCAGAUAGAUUAGCAAUCAUUGAACGUGCUAUCAUAAAAAUAUAUAAAGACAGUACAAUUCGUUUAAAAUGUGAGAGAAUGUAUAAUGAACUUAAAAUAACAGAAAAAGAAUUUUUGGUUUGUUUGUUAAUUGUAUGUAAUUAUAUAUUACUGAAGGAACCAAAUGUAACAACACGUAAAUAUAAAAAAAUAAAAGGAAUAUAUGGAUUUGUCAAAAAAAGGUUAAAUAAACCGAAAAAUGAAGAACUAGAAGACAGUAAAACAAAAAAGGAACAUGAAGAUGAUAAAAAAAGAAAAAAACAAGAUAAAGAUGUUAAAAAAAAAAAAAAACAAGAAGAUAAAGAUAAAGAUNNNNNNNNNNNNNNNNNNNNNNNNNNNNNNNNNNNNNNNNNNNNNNNNNNNNNNNNNNNNNNNNNNNNNNNNNNNNNNNNNNNNNNNNNNNNNNNNNNNNAAGAUAAAGAUAAAGAUAAAGAUAAAGAUAAAGAUAAAGAUAAAGAUAAAGAUAAAGAUAAAGAUAAAGAUAAAGAUGAUAAAAAAAUAAAAAAACAAGAAGAUAAAGAUAAAGAUGAUAAAAAAAUAAAAAAACAAGAAGAUAAAGAUAAAGAUGAUAAAAAAAUAAAGGCAAAAAAUGAACAGAGAGGAUACAGUAGUAGCAGUAGUAGCAUCAGAAGUAGUAGUGUUGACAAGAGUUAUAUAACAAAUUCGAAAAGCAUUAAAAAUGUGGAUGUCUUGGGUAUUUUGGAAAAAAUUGAUAGGUCAAAGAAAAAAGAGAAAGACACAACAAAAUGCGUCGAAAAAAACAGAAAAGACACAAAAACGCAUAUUGGAAAAAACAAACAAGGUACAACGACGCAUACUGAAAAAAACAAACAAAGUACAACGACGCAUACUGAAAAAAGCAAACAAGGUACAGCAACAAAUAUUGAAAAAAACAGAAAAAGCACAACAACAAAUGUUGAAAAAAAUAUACCACUGAAAACCUCAAUCUAUACAGAAAACAUCGGAGAUAAUAACAUAUAUGAAAGUAAAAAUGAUAACAAAAGUAUAGGUUAUAUGAUAUACGAUUUGUUGAAUAAAAGAGACACAGAAAUAAAAGAAUUAAAGUGUUCAAUACAGUCAAUAGGUGAAAACAUGAAAAUGUUGAUACAAAAAAAUAACAGUCUGGAGAAAGAUGUUAAGUUUAUACAAUUGGGGAUGUACAAUUUUAUGCGAAGUAGUAUGAAACAUGUAAAUAAUGAAUAUAAUCAUCCUACUAAUACACUUCUCAAAAUGUGCCCAAACGAAUGCCAAUUAAAUAAACAAAGUACUUCCUCAGGUAUAUACAACGAUAAUAACACUGAUAGCUCACUUACCCCUUUGCCCUUGAUAAACAGCAAAAAACAAGAAAGUAGUAUCUCCAUUAAAGAUGCCGAAAAGGAUAGUACAAUUUAUAACUAUCAUAGUUAUUUAAAUGAUUUGGAAGAAGAAGAAGAAGGAAAAAAAAAGAAAAAAAAAAACCAAAACACAAUACAAUCUUUGUUUUGUCCUUCUACGAAUAAAUACAACAAUAAUUUUAGUGAAACAAUAAAAAGAAAAAAUAAGCUAAAACAUAUAGAUACAGUAAAUUGCAAAGUGUAUAGUAAUAUUAUUAGAGAUAAGUAUAUACAAAAAUUUAUAUAUAAAACUUCGGAACUUAUUAUUUCAUUACAUUCUUCAUGUUCAAACACGCAAGAAGCUAUGAAAAAUGACCCAAGCUUAGUAAUAAAACAACUUGUUCUCUUAAAUUCUAUAAAUAACACUAUAGAUAAGAUUCGUUGUAUGAUAAAUGUUAAUAAUAACAGUAAUGACAUAAUAAAAGGUAAAACUAAAUAUCUAGAUUUAUGUGCACAUAAAAAGGUGAGUAAAGAAACGAACAAGGAAAUAGACAAAAAAAACUCAAACGAAAAAGAUAAAAGCAAAAGUUUUAGCAACUAUUACUUUUAUAUAAAAAAGGAAAAAUUAAAAACAGAAAAAGAAGUAGAAGAUAUACAAAAAAUAAGAAAUAUAAACGGCAAUUAUGAUUUGAUAAAUAUAGAUAAAAAGGUACAAGAUUUAUUAGUUUUAUCACGCAGUAAUAAUAAUAAUAAACGAGAUGAAUAUAUAAUACCUAGUUUAGAAAAUGAUACCAAUUAUACUACUAUUUAUAAUAAUGUAUAUGUAAAAAAAGCAGAUAAACGUAAAAAAAGGGUGGCAACUAGUAGCAGCAAUAUAAUAUGUAAAAAAAUACAUAAUACACAAAACACGUACAACAUGUAUACAAGCUCGAAAUUGUUUAACCUAAAUAAUGUAGCUAGUAAAAAUUGGAAUGAAACAAAAAUAUCAACUGAAAAUAUAAAAAGAGAAGAUUUAAUUUUGGAAGAAAAAAAAACUUUAAGUGUACAUCUAAAGGCGCAUAUGCGUCCAGAGGACACAUUGGACAAAACGGAAAAAGAAAAAGAGAAAGAACGGGAGAAAGAAAGGGAGAAAGAACUGGAAAAAGAAAGGGAGAAAGAACGGGAGAAAGAAAGGGAGAAAGAAAGGGAGAAAGAACUGGAAAAAGAAAGGGAGAAAGAACGGGAAAAAGAAAGGGAGAAAGAACUGGAAAAAGAAAGGGAGAAAGAACGGGAGAAAGAGAUGCUACAUAAGGAACAGUAUCAACAAAAAAUAAAUUAUUUUAAAUCACACUUGAAUCUACAUCAUAAAAAAGAACUAGAAUAUUUAAAAUUGAAUAAACAUGAAUAUGAUAAUAUGAUCAUGCGGAUAAUUAAGUUAUAUGAAGAGGAGUUGGAAAAAAAAGGAGAAGAUAAGAAUUGGUUAGAAAGAAAGAAAGAGAAACAGAAUGAAUUAGGUGCGAUUAAAUUAGAAUUAAAGGUAGAUAAAAGUAAGGUAAAUAGAAAUAAGAUAGAUACAAGUAAGGUAAAUAAAA